AGCAGAUUGAGGCGAGCGCUCAGUCAGAUCGCCUUCUACUUUGCUUCAAGUCCCAAUUCAGCACCGAGACAAAUGUGACAUGAAGAUACAUGCAGGAUGAUGUCACGAACAGUUCUUUCCGGGCCAUAUGCAGACGACACAACCCGGAUUUGUGAGGAAACACUGGGGAAAAAGUCAUGCAGGAGAGGGCAUGGAGACAGGGGGCGUGUCCAAGGAGUGCAGGUGUCCAGGGGAAGUAAAAGAACGAAUGGACAGGACCGCAAUUAGAAUAAAAAACAUGAUUACGGUCCAAAGAUCUUUCACCAGGAUCGAGAACAUACAGCAGGAUCGUGAGAAAGAGUGCAGAUGUGUAUCACCGUUACGACACAUUACUUGAAAAAUACUGGAGCGUUCUGCUCCCGCCGGUGGAGUUAUGAACUGUGCUGUUGCCCCCUGACCUUGCAGUGUAGCAGCUCUUCCACCCCUUCCACACCCUAUAAAAAGGGGGGCCCCCUGCUCACCCUCUUUGUACUGCAUGGCAGGCUCUGGGAAACUGUGCUCCCCCUUUCUCUCCACCUGCGGUCUCACUCUCCCCCCUUAUCUCUCCCUGGUGAAUAGCACCUUCUUCUGUAACUAAAAGGGCAAUAAACCCCCUGCCUUUGUGAAGCUGCCAACCUGCCUUCUGGCUAGUCUGUGUCGCCGCCGUCUCCACCGAACUGGGCUUGGGGCCGAAGCUCCACAAUACACUCUAGCCAGAUAACCGACUGUUGAAAAACUUUCAAAACUACCGUGGCCUUUAAUUUGUACAAGAGGUACAAAUGGGGAUCUGAGUUAUAGGAAAAGGCAGCGUUAGUCCCAUGCCACAAAUGAAGCAAAAAUAUAAUUUGUCAGUGUAGUCUUCCUCAGCAUGAGAGAGCACAAAUAUGUGAACAGGGUAAUGCGAAUAAAAGACAGAGAAUGUGAGAAAGAGUAGAGGUGAAGAGACGGAAAUGCUUUCACUGUGGAAUGACUUGUUCCUCAGUGGCUUAUAGAUAGUAAUUUUAUUCCACUUUGACUUAAAAGAAAUCACAAUCAGGUUUCACGUUUUUCAAAAAAUCAGUAUGUUAAAACAUCUAUGAGCUCUGUGGAUGGAGCCAAGCAUUCAUCUAAAGCCUGAUUUCAGAUGGGUAGAAAACUGGUAGACAACUCUGUUUAGUAACGUGAAAAAAAAACAGAUUCAGGAAAAACUGUCAGCCUUGUUGAACAUAUACAGCAUAGUAUAAUUACAAUUUCUACAUUAAAAUCGAUGCUCUUUCAGGAGUGUGAAGAAGGCAAGAAAGGGUCAGGCUCUUUGGUUAUUCACAGAACUAUCCUUUCUCAUUUGCUUGACAGACAGUGUAGUGUUUCAUAAAAAUGGAACAGUGGUCUGUCACUAUAAAAUGUGGUAGAAAUAUCUCUUGGAAAUACUGUACAACAAAAAAGGUAUUAAAAGCCGUGCCUAUCCAUUUCAUUACAUAUGUUUGUCGAAUUUUCUUUCUAUGCAAUAUACUGUACUGUACCGACUGAUUAAAAUUC